rnacentral:tRNA from 1 species
GUUAUUGUAGCUUACAACACAAAGCGUAGCACUGAAGAUGCUAAGAAGGUGCACACCCAUAUAACA